GCCGAAGUGGUGGAAUGGCAUACACGUCGGUCUCAAAAACCGAUGAGCGUAAGCUCGUGUGGGUUCGACUCCCACCUUCGGCACCA
rnacentral:tRNA from 2 species